GGUCUUUCAAGUCAGGAGUGAAAGGCUACGGCUCAACCGUAGUAAGCUCUUGAAACUGGGAGACUUGAGUGCAGGAGAGGAGAGUGGAAUUCCUAGUGUAGCGGGGAAAUGCGUAGAUAUUAGGAGGAACACCAGUUGCGAAGGCGGCUCUCUGGACUGUAACUGACGCUGAGGCACGAAAGCGUGGGGAGCAAACAGGAUUAGAU
rnacentral:rRNA from 1 species